rnacentral:rRNA from 1 species
UCAAGAAUAUUCCUCAAUGGACGAAAGUCUGAAGGAGCGACGCCGCGUGCAGGAAGAAGCCCCUCGGGGUGUAAACUGCUUUUUUUAGGGACGAAUUAAUGACGGUACCUGAAGAAUAAGAGGUUGCUAACUCUGUGCCAGCAGCAGCGGUAAUACAGAGACCUCAAACGUUAUCCGGAUUUAUUGGGCGUAAAGCGUCCGCAGGUUGUUUAUCAAGUUGGUGGUUAAAUCCCGAGGCUUAACUUCGGAAUUGCUAUCAAUACUGAUAGACUAGAGGUUGGAAGAGGCAAGCGGAACUGCCGGUGUAGUCGUAAUAAGCGCUGAUAUCGGCAGGAACACCAAAGGCGAAGGCAGCUUGCUAGUACAAACCUGACACUCAUGGACUAAAGCGUGGGGAGCGAAUAGG